rnacentral:rRNA from 1 species
GAUGAACGCUGGCGGCGUGCCUAAUACAUGCAAGUCGAGCGAACAGAUGAGGAGCUUGCUCCUCUGACGUUAGCGGCGGACGGGUGAGUAACACGUGGAUAACCUACCUAUAAGACUGGGAUAACUUCGGGAAACCGGAGCUAAUACCGGAUAAUAUAUUGAACCGCAUGGUUCAAUAGUGAAAGACGGUUUUGCUGUCACUUAUAGAUGGAUCCGCGCCGCAUUAGCUAGUUGGUAAGGUAACGGCUUACCAAGGCGACGAUGCGUAGCCGACCUGAGAGGGUGAUCGGCCACACUGGAACUGAGACACGGUCCAGACUCCUACGGGAGGCAGCAGUAGGGAAUCUUCCGCAAUGGGCGAAAGCCUGACGGAGCAACGCCGGGUGAGUGAUGAAGGUCUUCGGAUCGUAAAACUCUGUUAUUAGGGAAGAACAAAUGUGUAAGUAACUAUGCACGUCUUGACGGUACCUAAUCAGAAAGCCACGGCUAACUACGUG